rnacentral:lncRNA from 1 species
AAGGGAAAUACAACUUGCUUAUGUUUUGCAAAUUCGCAAAUAUCAUAUUGAAACAUUUGUAUGUUAACUUGUGGAAAUAAACUAGGAAAUAUAAUUUUUGGGGUACUGAAUGAUGGGUGACCUAAACGGAGCUAGUGAAAUCAAGUUUUUUCUUUAUUAGAGAGAGUGAUUUCUCACAACAAAUACAAAGGAAGUUGACUCUUAGUGUUGUGCAUACUCUAGAAGGUAGAAUCCAUUCUCUUCCUUAACAGGUCUGAUCAUAUUACCCAUUUCCUAAUCCUGAAAUUGUAAGGUUGUAGGAUUAAAAAACACCAAACAAUGUAAAUCCAUUGUAAGCUUGUUACAAAAGUCAAAUUGGCAAAUAAUUUGGGCACAUGUAAGAUAUCCUUCCAAAUUAGAUUCUAGUUUAUCAUAUUAUCUUCUUUUCUAGCAAAUAUAACGAAAUUUCCAUUUGCAAGUGCAAUUUUUUUAUUGCUCGAACAAGGUCUAUAAGAUAUAAACCCAGUAGAUGAUUGAGUCAUGUGGUGUGUGGUGUGAAACCCGGGCACUUAGAAGGCGGGGAGUGAUCGCCGGUGCAAGAGGCACGGACAAGGAGCGGCUCCUGGCAGGCUUCUAGUGAAAGGAGUACAUGGACGAAUUGAACAUACACCGGAAUGAGAAGGAUUUGAAGACUGUAUAGGCAUGGGAUUAUACAGUUGAAGGAUAGCUUAAAGGAAUUGAUUUGGCUACUCAUAUCACCAAAAUGCAUUUGCUUUUCAGUAGCCUAACCCAUAAGAACUUCUGGGAAGUUUUCCCUAAAAGUGUGUGAGUGAGGACAAAGCACACUGGAAAGCCUCGUGUUGAUGUGUGGGGGCAGUCAACAGUCCCUGUAAGUUGUCGGGGCGUUAUAGAUGGUAUCAGAGCCUAGCCUCUCCUAGUACGGUGUGGUUCGAGGACGAACCAAGCAGAAGCUGGUGGGCAUGUGACACCCGGGCACUUAGAGGGCGGGGAGGGAUCGCCGGUGCAAGAGGCACGGACAAAGAGCAGCUCCUGGCAGGCUUCUAGUGGAAGGUGUAUAUGGACAAAUCGAACAUACACCGGAAUGAGAGGAGAGAUUGUAUAUGUAUGGGACUAUACAGUUGAAGGAUAGCUUAAAGGAAUUGAUUUGGCUACUCAUAUCACCAAAAUGCAUUUGUUUUUCGGUAGCCUAACCCAUAAGAACUCCAUGGUUAAGCAUGCUUAGCCUGGAGUAAUUUGGGAUUUGGGAUGGGUGACCUUCCGGGAAGUUUUCCCGAAAAGUGUACGAGUGAGGACAAAGCACACUGGAAAGCCUCGUGUUGAUGUGUUGGGACAGUCAGCAGUCCCUGUAAGUUGUGGCGGCGGUACAUGUGGCUCCAAAAUCAACUAGCUUGACACCUUAUUUAUAGGAAUUUAAUGCGUUGCAAGGGAGUAAGGAAUAUUACCUGCAAAUGCUAAGGAGCAAUUGCCUAAGUUUGAAAGUUUUUUUAACAUGUCCAACAACACCUUUAAUUUCAUAAUCUCCUUCGUGUUAGACUGUGGUAGGUUAUGAAUAAUUGCCUUCAAGUGAGCCUAUUUAUGACAUAUGAACUUUAGUAUGUCCUCCACCUUGAUUUCCUUUAGGUGUCCAAUUUUGAGUUGGAUGUGGAGGCUUCCCAUGAAGUUUCCCGCAUUUGUUUUGAGUGUGUUGCGACUUCUUACAAUAAGUACACCAAAGGGAGACUUUAUUAUCCCCUUCAGCUAUAUUUAUUCCUCCUACUUCAUUUCCAAAUGGAGUGAUAUGCCCUUGUCCAACUUUCUUCCCCUUGUACAAGCAAGGUUGAACAGUCAAUUGAUUGGGGUUCUAACAUUACUCCUCUACAGACUCCUUUUGCCUGAAACACAGCCAUUGUCUCAUUGAGUGAGGAUAAGUCCUUCCCUAAAU